rnacentral:rRNA from 1 species
ACGGGAGGCAGCAGUGAGGAAUAUUGGUCAAUGGACGAGAGUCUGAACCAGCCAAGUAGCGUGCAGGAUAACGGCCCUCCGGGUUGUAAACUGCUUUUAGUUGGGAAUAAAAAAGGCGACGUGUCGCCUAUUGUAUGUACCAUCAGAAUAAGGACCGGCUAAUUCCGUGCCAGCAGCCGCGGUAAUACGGAAGGUCCGGGCGUUAUCCGGAUUCAUUGGGUUUAAAGGGAGCGUAGGCCGUGCUUUAAGCGUGUUGUGAAAUGUAGGCGCCCAACGUCUGCACUGCAGCGCGAACUGGAGCACUUGAGUACGCAGGAAGUAGGCGGAAUUCGUCGUGUAGCGGUGAAAUGCUUAGAUAUGACGAAGAACUCCGAUUGGGAAGCCAGCUUACUGUAGCGCCACUGACGCUGAUGCUCGAAAGCGUGGGUAUCGAACAGGAUUAGAUACCCUGGUA